UGGGGAAUUUUGGACAAUGGGCGAAAGCCUGAUCCAGCAAUGCCGCGUGUGUGAAGAAGGCCUUCGGGUUGUAAAGCACUUUUGUCCGGAAAGAAAUCCUUGGCUCUAAUACAGUCGGGGGAUGCGGUACCGGAAGAAUAAGCACCGGCUAACUACGUGCCAGCAGCCGCGGUAAUACGUAGGGUGCAAGCGUUAAUCGGAAUUACUGGGCGUAAAGCGUGCGCAGGCGGUUUGCUAAGACCGAUGUGAAAUCCCCGGGCUCAACCUGGGAACUGCAUUGGUGACUGGCAGGCUAGAGUAUGGCAGAGGGGGGUAAAAUUCCACGUGUAGCAGUGAAAUGCGUAGAGAUGUGGAGGAAUACCGAUGGCGAAGGCAGCCCCCUGGGCCAAUACUGACGCUCAUGCACGAAAGCGUGGGGAGCAAACAGGAUUAGAUACCCUGGUAGUCCACGCCCUAAACGAUGUCAACUAGUUGUUGGGGAUUCAUUUCCUUAGUAACGUAGCUAACGCGUGAAGUUGACCGCCUGGGGAGUACGGUCGCAAGAUUAAAACUUAAAGGAAUUGACGGGGUCAUAGCUGUUUCCU
rnacentral:rRNA from 1 species